rnacentral:ncRNA from 1 species
UAUAAAUAUACUUAUUUUAUAGAUAUUUAUUAAAAUUAUAUAUUAAAGUUUUAUUUUGGCUUAUUUAAUUUUUUUUUAGUUUGGUUUAUAUGUAAAUUUUUGUAUGAAUUAUAUUAUUCUUAAUGAGAAUAUAUUUAUAAAAAAUUCGCAGUAAUUAAUUUUAAUUAUUGGAGAAAUCUUGAAUUAGCAAUAUUGUUAAGUAUUAGCAAAAUUUGUGCCAGCAGCUGCGGUUAUACAAAAGAUACAAAUAAAUUAUAUUGAUUUAUAAGUUAUUUAUUUUUUUUAUUUAAUAAAUUAAAAAAUUUUAGGUGAAAUUUUAUUUUUUUUUUAUUAAUAUAUAAUAAUUAAAAGAAGCUUAGAAAAUUUAGUUAUAAACUAGGAUUAGAUACCCUAUUAUAUAAAAUGUAUUUAUUAUUUAAUAUCUGAGUAUUAAUAGUUAAAUUCUUGAAACUCAAAAAAUUUGGCGGUAUUUUAGUCUAUUUAGAGGAACUUGUGACGUAAUCGAUAAUCCACGAUGGACCUAACUUAAUUUUGUUAUUUACAAUUUGUAUACCGCCGUUAUUUAAAAAUUUUAUAAGAAUAAUAAUUUUUAUAAUUUUAAAUUAAAAAAUAAAUCAGGUCAAGGUGCAGUUUAUAAUUGAGUGUUACAUGAGUUACAAUAAAUUUAUUUAAAUGGAUUAAAUAUUGAAAUAUAUUUAUAAAGGUGGAUUUAAUAGUAAAUUUUAAAAGAUUAUAAAAUUGAUUUUAGCUCUAAAAUAUGCACACAUCGCCCGUCGCUCUUGUUAAUAAUAUAAGAUAAGUCGUAACAUAGUAGAUGUACCGGAAGGUGUAUCUAGAAUGAC